rnacentral:rRNA from 1 species
CCUACGGGUGGCAGCAGUGGGGAAUAUUGGGCAAUGGGCGCAAGCCUGACUCAGCAACGCCGCGUGAAGGAAGAAGGCCCUCGGGUUGUAAACUUCUUUUAUUCGGGACGAAACAAAUGACGGUACCGAAUGAAUAAGCCACGGCUAACUACGUGCCAGCAGCCGCGGUAAUACGUAGGUGGCAAGCGUUAUCCGGAUUUGCUGGGUGUAAAGGGCGUGUAGGCGGGAGAGCAAGUCAGACGUGAAAUUCCAGGGCUCAACCCUGGCACUGCGUUUGAAACUGUUCGUCUUGAGUGAUGGAGAAGCAGGCGGAAUGCGGGGUGUAGCGGUGAAAUGCGUAGAUAUAGGGAGGAACACCGAUGGCGAAGGCGGCAUGCUGGACAUUAACUGACGCUGAGGCGCGAAAGCGUGGGGAGCGAACAGGAUUAGAUACCCGAGUAGUC